UUGUUCAAAAUGCCAAGAACCUGGAUGACUCAUAGUCAAGACCCUCCACCAGUAACAUAUAUUGGCGAGCCAGCCAGGAGCUUGGAACCCUCGGUGGACAGUGCCUAAGCACAGAGGCAACCACAGGUUUCUAACAGGGCCACUCUCUGGUGAAACUGAAAGGUUUCUGUGUGAAAGUGCCUGACCACCACUGCCCAAUUCAGAGACCACUACAGGAAACACUCCAUUUAUUCCACCUGACUUCCCACUUGGCUGCAUCCUCAACCAUUGAAAUGAAUUUGACCCUGAUAAUCUAAGGAGGAAACAUUUGAUAUUCUUUUGCAAUAAUACUUGGCCCCAGUAUUGUUUGGAAUCUGGAGUUUGCUGUUGAAUGGGAAAGCAGGAUGACGUUGCAUGUAUCCAGGCUUUGGUGCUGCUGUCCUAAGAAGGGUCAGGCCUAGUCAGCAUAUGGUGCUCUCCUUUGGUGCUAUUUGGCUCCAGUGUCUUUGGAGUCUGAGGAGGUUUGGCCUUUAAAAAUCAAACUGCCACCGGAACUGCUUUAAAAAUGUUUGGUUCACAGCCUUCACUGGAUUACCUAUUGGAGCAAACAAAGUGUAACCAUGUAAAACCUGUGAGCUUGUAUUGAUAUCUCAUGGCUAGAGUUCCAAGGUAAAAGCUAUUGGAUCUUCGUUUGUGUGUGUGUAUACAUGUCUAGAUGUGUUUAUUUGUAUGUACACUUAUUGUUAUAUGUUGUGUCAACCAAAUCAGCGGUUUCACUAAAAUUUAAGGUUACUAAGAUGAUAUGGUUUGGCUUUGCAUCCCCACCCAAAUCUCUUCUUAUAACUCCCAUAAUUACCGUGUGUUGUGGGGAGGGAUCCAGUGGGUGAGAGAUGAUUGAAUUAUGCUGUUCUCAUGAUAGCGAAUGGGUCUCAUGAGAUCUGAUGGUUUUGAAAAUGGGAGUUGCCCUGCACAAGCUCUCCUUUUGCCUGCUGCCAUCCACAUAAGAUGUGAUUUGCUCUUCCUUGCCUUCCACCAUGAUUGUGAGGCCUUCCCAGCAUGUGGAAAUAGGGUCCAGCCUGCAAUAACUGAAGCCCCCAGACCUGGAACCUGAAGAUCCCAUCAGCCACUAAACCUGUGAACCUGUAGAAGACCUGAAGUACCUGUUUAAAAGGCAGCCAAAAGAUAAGUAAAUUCCUAUCAACUUUCCUUGGUGUCCUUCUUGUAUAUUUACUGUAAGCUGGAUAUAAUAGUAGCCAUUUUUAUAUUUUUACAAUUUAAUUGCUUUCUUCCAAAUGGAUUGAAUCACUUCUUUUAAAGUGUUUUAAUUAAUUUUUAUCUAUAGAACAAAAUAACAAAUAAGUAUUUUUUUUUUAUACCAUAAUGGUCACCCACAGCCUGUGUAUACUAAGACCAUGCAUACUGAUAAUCAGCUUUAUUUUACAAAAGAGUUUCGCUUUACCCCUCUGGUAAUUAAUGGAUUCUGGGUAUUUAUUAAAAACUUUAACACAAAGACUGUUAAAUACCACCAGUCCAGCUUUGGCAAGGCACUGUUGGCUUUGUUUAUCUCCAUCAUCAUCCAAACAGACUACCAAUCCUGAUCCCAGCCCAAUCUUGGGCCCUUGAAAAAAUAACUUAACAUCCUAACUACAAGGGAGAAACUCCUUUCAAAUUAAUGAACCUGGCUGACUUAUAUAGCCUUAAAAUUAUGGAAAUGACAAGGGUUACAAUGUCAGAAUGAGCAGUAAACCUUCCCCAGUCCUAUCAGAGCAAACUUUCUGGGGUUGCAUCCCCUCAGAAACCCAUUUGGGGCCCAAUCUCAAUGCACAUAUCAGUGCGCAAAGCACUAAAAUUCCAGGCAACACUUUGUAUUGAGAGAAGCCAAAAUUUUGGUCCCGCCCUGGGACAUCUAAAGUCACCAAUGUAACUACACCAUACAGAUUAAACCCUCACAUGAUCAUGUAAGCUAUGCAGUUACCCAAGCUGCAUCAUUUAGAAAACCUGUACAGUUUUUAUGGAAACCAUCCCUAGUCAAGGACACUUUAAAUAUAUAGUCUAAAUACCGUUAAGGUAGGCCCACUAGCUGUGUUCACAUUUUCCCUUGGCCACCUUACCAGGGACUUUAAUAACUUGGGAAAGUGAAAACAACAAGCUAACCCACAUGUUCACCAUAGAAAACAAUUUUGUCUUGAAAAACAAGGACUCUUUUUCCCGUGUGGGACCAGUUCCUACUUAUGUUUUACCAGCCAAUUGGACUGGAACCUAUACAGUUGUUUAUUUAGCCCCCGAAAUUAAUAUAGCUCCCAACAACCAAUCCUUCAUUAUACUUUUAACUGCAACCACCAGACACAAAUGAGCCAUCCAACUGAUACCACUUUCGGUAGAGCUAGGAAUAACAGCAGGAGUAGGAAUGAGAGUUAGCAGCCUUGCAGUUUCCCUAUCCUAUUACCAAUGCUUGUCCAAGGAUUUUAUGGAAAGCUUAGGUGACAUUGCCCAAAAGUAUCAUCACCUUACAAAAUCAGAUAGAGUCUUUGGCAGUGGUGGCUUUGUAAAAUAGAAGGGGACUGGAUCUCCUAAAUGCUGAAGAAGGUGGCUUAUGUCUUUUUCCUAGAGGAAGAAUGCUGUUUUUAUGUCAACCAAACAGGAUUAGUAAGGGAUGCCACCCAAAAACUAGCCGAUUGGUACCAUAAGAUAUGACAACAGCUGUCUGAGUCAUGGGGCGCCUAGUCAAAAUGCUAAUUUGGGGCUCACAUCUCCUUCCUCUGGCCAGUCCACUAUUAAUUAUUAUACUUGCCUUGGCUUUUGGAUCAUGUUUGUUAAAUCUUUUAACCAGAUUUAUUUCUUCUUGCCUAGAGACCAUUAUGAUAAUGCAGCAGGGCCACCAGUCAGUUUCAGAUAAUGAUGUCAACCCCGGCCACCAAGAAGUAACCUUGUCUCCACUAGACAGAGCAGGGUGAGAGUUCUGUAAUCCCCAGUAGGUAGGGACUGUGCCCCAAGUCAGCAUGAAGUAGUUAUGGAAGAAAGACCAUGGGUCCCUCUGCCUCCCAGAAAGAUUUAUGGGGAUCACAUCUCUCAGGGGAAAAUGAGGCAGGAGAAUAGGGUCUGGAGACAGGGAACCUAAAGCUGAUUUGUGCUGAGUUUCUAGGAUUGAAUGAAAAGGAAAACCCCACCUCUCCACACCCAAGUAACAAAAGGAUCAGAGGCUACUCCCUUUGCACUGCAUUGCAGAUAAAAAAUGGAAAGUACCUCAGAUUGGUCCCCUCCCACAACCAAUCAGACUGGCCAUGGGCUACUCCUUCGUUUACAUAGGGUGUAACCAAGUAACCAAUGGGAAACCUCUAGCGGGUAUGUAAACCCCAGAAAAUUCUGUAACCAGUGCUCUUGAGCUGCUUGCUGGAGCCUACUCCCACUUUGUGAAGUGUACUUUCAUUUCAAUAAAUUUGUGCUUUCAUUGCUUCAUUCCUUCGUUGCUUUGUGUGUUUUGUCCAAUUCUUUGUUCAAAACACCAAGAACCUGGAUGACUCAUAGUCAAGAUCCUCUACCAGUAACACUUGAACUUUCUGGUUUGUCCUGAACAUCCCUCUUUCUUAAACAACCAGUCGUUUUAUUCUAGGCCAAAAUUUUACCAUACAAGAAUAUUUCUCAUAUACAAUUAUCUUCCUUCUAACUUUUCUUGCCAGAAAUACCUUUUAUAACUUUCUUUACAUUGCUUUUAUUUAACGAUUACUUUAGUUGCAGGAAUUUAGCCAAUUCAGAGGUCUUGUUCUCCAUAAUUUGGAAUUUUCCUUCGGAUUUGAUCAAGUUGGAUAGAGUUGGUCAAACCCAAUGGGAAAAAGAUGAAAACAACAAGAAACAGAAACAAACAGCAACAACAACAACAACAAAAACAGUUAAGUGAAACAAACAAACAAUCACACAAUUUAUGUGGUCACUGAGUGCUCUAAUAGUAAGGAGAAAUUAAGACCAGCUGGCUGUUAGUCUUAACUCUAGCCAAGACAAAACUCCAAUUCAGCUACUUACCUAGUAAUGAGUCUCAGGCUGAAGUAGAUGCAUUUAAUUAAAUGAAGAUGAGCUCAUGCUGGAGUAGGGUGGACUCUGAACCCAGUGGGACAAGCGUCCUUAUUAAGAAGAGGGAAAUCUGGACACACACAGAGCAGAGACCGCCGUGUGAAGAUGGAGGCAGAGAUCGGAGAGAUGCUGCCACACGCCACAAAUGCCUGGGGCUCCCAGAAACUACACGGAGCCUCCCCCAGCGGCUUCAGCAGGAGCAUGGCUCGGCCAACACUUUGAUCUUGGUCUUCCAGCCUCCAGAACGGUGAGUCGAGUUUUCCUAAAAUUCCCUUUUCCACUGGUGUGUGGUGCAAGAUGAGGCACAUUUUCCAUGGAUGGUGAACAGAGGGAGGAGCCUUUUGAUCACAACCAGGUCACCCCACUUCUAAGCCACUGUGCCUCCAGCCCCACAAGACUAAGGAGAGAGAGCGCAGCGUGGUGGAGAGUGAGCUGUGCUGGGACCAUUGUUUCCGUAACCUCGUUUUCUGUGUCCAGCUGACACACCUUCAAAGUGGCAUCAGGUCCUAAACUGUAGCUUGCAAUGUGCCUGUUUCCAGAAACCAAGGUGAAAGUGCUUUUAGACAGUGUUCCCAUGCAAGAGUCCCUUCCCAGCUUUUUUCUGGAAAUGCAUGUUUCUCUGAACUCUGAGUCCCAAGAAAAAUCACUUGAGACACCAAGAAAAUGGGGGAAGUGCUAAAAUUGUGUGGGAAUUCAAGCUUAACAAUAAACAUCAAGACAUUUUUGAUAAAAAUGAAUCCACUGACAUCGGGGAGGAGCAAGAGAACAGCACGCUGACACUGGGUCAGAGGCUAAGACCGACAUUUCUGGGAACCACUCCCGGAAGGGCACAGAGGAGACGCUUUCAGCCUCUCAUCAGCCAGCCUGGCCUGUAGCUGCUGCACGUUAUGAGUGUGUUCCUGGCAUGACUGCUUCUAACAGCGACCAUUUCAUUAAGUUUUUAAGUGCCUGGUAAUUGCUUGGUUAUGACCGGUGUCUGCUCCAUGGCAGCCUCUUCCUGCAGGCAGAGACAGUGUGUGCACUUCCAUCCUACAGGGACCAGAUCUGAACAGUCUGGAGAGAGGAGCUGUGGUGGCAGCAGACAGAUCUCUGCUUCAGGGGCCAGGUGUCUAGAGAAGAAAUGCUGAGGCAGUGUCACGCUGGUGUCUGUCCUCCUUACAGAAUGCCUGAACAGUUCCAUUGACUCAAAGUGAAGAUCAAAAGAACCAAAUGACAGCAAUAGCCAAGUGUAAUCAUCAGUAACCCUGUGUUCUAUCCACAGGUAAAAAACAAUCAUCCUCUUCAUUAUGGGUUUCAAUUUUAAAUGUAAUACAUUUUUAGAAAUGCCUAUUUCCUUUUAUAAUCUUAAAAGAAUAUUGGCAGAGAAACAGCCUUGGUGUUCCAGCAGGAGUGAAGAGGAACAGGAAAACGAGUGGCAGUAGCCCUGAAACAGCCACUUCUGGUGGUUGCCACU
rnacentral:lncRNA from 10 species